ANUCCUACGGGGUGCAGCAGUGAGGAAUAUUGCGCAAUGGGGGCAACCCUGACGCAGCGACGCCGCGUGGGUGAGGAAGGCUUUCGGGUCGUAAAACCCUGUCAGAAGGGAAGAAGUGCUUAUAGGUUAAUACCUUGUAAGUUUGACGGUACCUUCAAAGGAAGCACCGGCUAACUCCGUGCCAGCAGCCGCGGUAAUACGGAGGGUGCAAGCGUUGUUCGGAAUCACUGGGCGUAAAGGGCGCGUAGGCGGCUUGGCAAGUCAGAUGUGAAAGCCCACGGCUUAACCGUGGAAGUGCAUUUGAAACUGCUUGGCUUGAGUAUCAGAGGGGAAAGUGGAAUUCCCGGUGUAGAGGUGAAAUUCGUAGAUAUCGGGAGGAAUACCGGUGGCGAAGGCGACUUUCUGGCUGAAUACUGACGCUGAGGCGCGAAAGCGUGGGGAGCAAACAGGAUUAGAUACCCUGGUAGUCCACGCCGUAAACGAUGUCAACUAGGUGCAGGGGGUGUUGAUCCCUUCUGUGUCGCAGCUAACGCAUUAAGUUGACCGCCUGGGGAGUACGGUCGCAAGAUUAAAACUCAAAGGAAUUGACGGA
rnacentral:rRNA from 1 species